rnacentral:rRNA from 1 species
GAUGAACGCUGGCGACGCGCCUAACACAUGCAAGUCGAACGAUUAAAGCACCUUCGGGUGUGUAUAAAGUGGCGAACGGCUGAGUAGCACGUGGGCAACCUGCCCCUUUCAUUGGGAUAGCCACGGGAAACCGUGGAUAAUACCGAAUACUUCGAGACUUCCGCAUGGAAGACUCGAGAAAGCUCCGGCGGAGAGGGAUGGGCCCGCGGCCUGUUAGCUUGUUGGUGGGGUAACGGCCUACCAAGGCAAUGAUGGGUAGCUGGGUUGAGAGACCGACCAGCCAGAUUGGGACUGAGACACGGCCCAGACUCCUACGGGAGGCAGCAGUGGGGAAUCUUGCACAAUGGGCGAAAGCCUGAUGCAGCGACGCCGCGUGCGGGAUGAAGGCCUUCGGGUUGUAAACCGCUUUCAGCAGGGACGAGGCGAAAGUGACGGUACCUGCAGAAGAAGCCCCGGCUAACUACGUG